UAUAAAGCUCAUAUAAACUAAUUUGACUAUUUAAUUUUUUUAAAAUUUUAAUUUUAUAUUUAAUUUUUUAUAUAUUUAAUUUAAAUAAUCUAAUGACUUUUCAAAUAUAAAAUUUAAGUUAAUUAUUUAUUUUUAAAAAAUUUUAAUUAUGCAAAUUAUAUAAAAUAUGCUUAUUAAUUAACUUGUAAAGAUAAACAAUAUAUUCAAAUUUCGAAGUUAAAAUGUCACUACUUAGUUCAAAUCAAAUCAACUAAAUGGUCAUGUGGUAAAACUAAAAUUUGUAGAGAUUAGGUAGUCUAAUCCAAAAAGGUAAUAGCUCAGAUAAGUCUUAUACAAUUUUACCUAUAUUUUUAAAGUAAUGAUCUUACUAGUUUUUUAUAUUAAAAUGUCAAAAUAACUUUUAUACUAUUAGAUGAGUGGGAUAUGAAAUGUACACUCUAUUUGUAGAAUAUACAAACAAUUGUUUUACUUUAAUUUACUUUUAAUGUGAGCCAUCUCUGGUGGAGUAUUUUUAGUUUUAGCAAAAAUAAAAGUUUGGAGACCCAAAACCGAUGUUCUCAUGAUAAGCAAAAAGUAGAAACAGUUUAAAAGAUUUUAAUAUUAUUUUUUUUAUGCUAUGGUUACUUUAAAUUAAUAUUAUUUUAUUGAGCAAUACUAAAUAAAUUAAUCAGCUGUAAUUUUAAAAUAGCAUAUCGUCGAGGUGUAGUAAAAAAAUUCAUAAGAUGCCCCUUAAAUAGAAAAAAAACAUGGUUUCUACUUUUAACUCAAGGUGAGGUAACUCAUCAAGAACACCUUUUUCACUACAGUAAAAAAAAAAAAGAAAAAAAAGAAAAGAAAAGCUUUGCAUGAUUUUUUGUUUGCUAAAUAUUGGACUGUUGUUUUGUGAAGUAGAAAAGUUACUUCAAAUUUUAUACUGUAGAAACACUUCUAGUUAUAUCUCAACCAAAUCAAAUGCUUACAUAGUAAAUCACGUGAAACUGAUUGGUUGUGACCAAUUAUAAAAAUAUAUUUGUGAAAAUCAUCUAUCAAUGCAUGCACAAUUUAUUUGCGUACAAAAGCAAUAGAAGUUCAUCUAGAACUCUCAUGCAAAACCAAUCCCAAAGCAUAUAUAGUAAUUGACCUGCACAUUUAACUUAAUAUGUCAUUAGGGUAUCGAUCAACAUCAUCUAUUGAAGCUCAAGAAAUUUCUAUAUCUUAAGCCCUUGUUUGGUUGGAGGUUAAGGGGUGGAAUAACCCCUUAACUCCCAUUUUAUCCCCAAACAUCCAAAAAAAUAGGUGGGGUUAGCUAAUCCCACCUCAAAUAAAUUAUCCCGGGUUAGCUAAUCCCAUCUAAUUCCACCAAACUCCAACCAAACACUAUUUUCUAUUCAUAAUAAUCCACUAUCUUUCUUAUCACACAUACUUCAACCAAUCAUUAUCCUUCUUUAUCAAUCAUUAUCUUUUUAUCCCACCUACUCAAACCAAACACUAUUUUUCAUUAUUCUAGACUAACUCCAACCCCCCAACCAAACACAAAAAAACUUUAACCCCACUUUAACCCUGAACUUAACUCUAUUCUUGAAAUAACUACUUUUUCCUUAACCCCGAACCAAACGGAGGCUAAAGCUUUAUACAUAUAUAUGUAUAUAUGUACGCGCGCGCGCACUAUAUCAUACCUAACACCUAAAAAUGAGGCGAAUACCAUAACGAAGGGGACAGAGUUCAAACACGAUAAUAAUUUUAACAUAAAGAUGCAAAUAAUUAGAUUCGAUUACGUAGCUUAAUUAAUUAAUUAAUUAUUUAUUUAUUUAUUUUGAAAAAAAAGGGCAGUGAAAAGUUGGAACAGUAUGGAUGGCCACACUCUUUAAUUUGAACUCCUGCUUGUGGUGGUGUGUGGUGGGGGCAGGGGAGAGAGCCAACAGUGUCAGGAAGAGAGAGGCUGGCAUAAAAUGUUUCUGAUCGCGGUCCCACCCGGCACGGCCCGCGAUGCAUGGACCCGAGAUAUCGGGCCCAUGCAUUAAAUUCAUAAUGGCGCUUUGCGUCGCGCUUGAUUCGCGCAAGGACCUGAUUGGAUGCCGGAAUAAGUCACCUAAGGUUUCGUUAUUACUUACUAGCCGUUACCUUUUUAAUGCGUAAAUUAGUUUUAUUGGUUUUUGAGUUUUGUUUUAUCUUUUCUUAGUGACAUGUGAAUGUAUAGGAAAUCCGUGGAAAUCGGUGUUUAUGAUGUGUUAAGAUGUUUUUUGGUUUAUUUUUUGCCGGACCGAUUUUUCUCACGGUGAACUCUCGGGGGUUCGUAACUGUCAAUUUCAAGUCCAGCUCAAGAAAUUAUAAAUCGAAAAGUUAGGCCUCCUUUGACAGCGUUGUUAUGUUUCCUUUUCUUUUCUUUUUUCUAACACUAAUUUAUUUAAAAAAAAAUUGAGACCAAAAAGGUUACUUUCACAUUUUGAUUUUUUUCGUUGCUAGACAAUAUUUUGGAUGUAAAUAUUGUAAAUAAUUUAUCAUCCUUUUUAUAUUAUUUUGCAUAAAAAUCUAUUCAGAAAGAAAAUCAGCGACAAUACCGAGCAAUAUCUUAAUUUUAAUAGUUGAUCACUUUAUUAUUUUUAUUGUGGUUUAGGAUCUUCUUCACAAUUUAUGUCAGGAUUAAUAAAACUCUUUCUAUUUAAAAAGAUGGAGAUUGAGUGCUCAAAUUCAUUAUUUAGUGAGUCCUUCGUUUGAGCUAACUCAUUAAUUAUGUAUGUUGCUCCAAUUUUUGAUAGGCUAAAUCAAUCAUAUAUUUUAUUUCUCUAGUUACAGCUUAUAUUAAUUUACUUACAAUUUACAAUUUAUUACGGGCCAAAAUUUUCUUUAAUAAGAGAGGUAAUUUACAGCUUAUUGUAAUACCAUACAUAUGUAUAGAAAUAGAUUGGAAUAUUAUAAAGAGCACCAAAUUAUUGGUGCUAUUAAUUUUUCAACAUUUGGAAUGAGAAAUGUGCGGUUAAGAGGUCCCUAGCUAGGGUUGAGUAUGUAGUUGGUUAAAUAGUAUAAUCUAACGAGUAAAAAUAAUCAAAUGGUUAAAUUUAACGGUGAAAAACUGGAUACCACUAAACUCUGGUGUUAUCUAUAAUAUCCCAACCGGAAUAUAUAUAUAUACACACACACACGCACGAGCGUUAUGUUUUCAGCUAAACAAUUUAUUAAAAUAUAGGACAAAAUUAGCCGUGACAUUAUUCACACCUUUUCUUUUCUAUUAUUAUUAUUAUUAUUAUUAUUAGUACAUCUUAUGCCGGAGAGAGUUGCUGGAACAAAAAUUUUACAGAGACGGUCCCUAAAAUAAGACCGUUUUAACUAACACGAAUCUCAAAGCAUGACAGUCAGAGAAACAGACGGUCCGGUUACGGGAACUGUCGUGAAUAAAAUUUUUGUUCGGAGUAUAUAUAUAUAUAUAUAUAUAUAUAUAUAUAUAUAUAUAUAUAUNAAAUUUAUGAGUACAAAGGGCUCUAUACUUAUAAAAGUAGAGUAGCCCUAGCCUAAUAUAUAUAUAUAUAUAUAUAUAUAUAUAUAGUGCGGCUAGGAUGCUUAUGGAAGCACGGAGGGCCACUUUAUUUUCGAUCUUCGAACUUUCGAAUCGACGAUCGGCUCCGUUAGACUUGAUCUAGAGUAUUUGAAGUAUGUAGAAAAUAAAUUUUGUGAUUUUUCGAUAUCAUUUGCCUAGUGAUUGAAGUGGCUCAAAAUCAACGGCUGAAAAUAAAAAUCUUACAAAAUAUGAUGAUAUGACAUUAAAAUUUUAGAUCAAAGUUAUUGAUCUUAUUUUAUAUAGUAUAAAGAAUUUUUUAUCAAAAUUUUAUGUGAUUUGAAUAUUUCUACACCGUUAAACUUGCAACCGGCUUACCACGGCUGUUAAAAUUAUUGAUUUUGAACCUCUUCGAUCACUAGGCAAAUGAUAUCGAAAAAUCACAAAAUUUAUUUUCUAGAUACUUCAAAUACUCUAGAUCAACUCUAAUGGAGCCAAUCGUCGAUUCGAAAGUCCGAACAUCGAAAACAACUUGGAAGCACAGAGGGUUCCGUGCUUCCAUAAGCAUACCAGCCCACUCUCUCUCUCUCUCUCUCUCUCUCUCUCUCUCUAUAUAUAUAUAUAUAUAUAUAUAUAUGGAGCUAGGCUACUAUACUAUCUAUAAUACCGAGCUCCGGUACUAUAGUGUUGGUUUUCGAUCUUAUGGCGUUCAAAUCAAUGAUCCACACCGUUAAAACUGAUCUAGGGUAUUUAAAGUUUUUAGAAAUAAAAUUUUAUAUUUUUUUGACAUAGUUUACUUUAUAAUCAAACUGUUUCAAAAUUGUCAAUUUUCAAUGGCUAUUAUGACAAGUUUGGAGUUUAACGGUGUAGAAGAAUAUAAAUUUCUUCAAAUUUUGAUAAAAAAAUACUUUAAACUAUAGAUUAGUGAACAUUUUUAUCUUGAAUUUAAAAGUCCUAUUAUUCAAGUUUUAAAGAUUAUUCAAUUUUACCGUCUAUUUUGAUAUAUAUUUAUUUACUAAGUAAAUGAUAUCGAAAAAAACUAAAAUUUAUUCCUAAGAGAUUCAUAUACCCUAAUCAUAUUUAACGGUGUGAUCGUUGAUUUGAACGCCCUAAAGAUAAAAAAUAAAACACUAUAGUACCGAAGCUCGGUACUAUAGAUAGUAUAGUAACCUAAUUCUAUAUAUAUAUAAUAUAUAAUAUAAAACGUAUAUUCAAAUUUGGGUCUGUCGACAGACCCAUUUUUCGGCGGAAAAGAAUUAAUUCCGCUUUCUUUACGUAAAAUAAGUAACAUAAUUAAACAAACUUUAUUUUCUCAUUAUUUCUACAACAAAAAAAAAAUUUAUGCUUUCCAAAUUUUUGCCAAUCGGAAAAAUAUCUACUGUGAAUUUUAUUAAUUCUUCUUAUUUCUAUUUGUGAUAUGAUAUCUAUACUAUCCUAUCUAUAUCUAUACUAUAAUAAAAAUCACGUAUUUCAAAUUUUUGAUAUGUCGACAGAACCAUUUUUGGCGAAAAAAAAUUAAUUCUCUUUUCUUACUUAAAAUAAAUAACGUAAUGAAACAAACUUUUAAUUUCUCUUUAUCUCAAAAUAGAAAAAAUAUACUCAUCCAAAUUUUGCCAACCAAAAGAUAUUACUGUGAACUAUGUUUAAUUCAAAAUUAUUUAAUUUCUUUUUAUCUCUAAAAUAGAUAUAAAUUCAUGCUUAUCUAAAUUUUUGUCAGAAUAUCAAUCUUUAAAAAAUAGUAUUUUUAUCCAUCUAUUUUACAACAAAAUUUAAAUUUGAGUUUAAAUCGUGAAUUAAAUUUAAUUUUUGAUUUGAUUUCAAAUCUAUCCAUCUAUUUAUACUAAAAUUUAAAUUUGAUAUCAUAGAAUAUUUCUAUAAAAAUAAUAACAUAUAAAUUUACAAAUAUUUUAUUCUAAAUUUUUAAAAAAUAUGAUUACACUUUUUAUUAAUUUAAAAAUAAAUAAAAUAAUUGUUACGUGCAUUUGCACGUACGCUCAACUAGUAUAUAUAUAUAUAUAUAAAAGCACGUAUAUUCAAAUUUGGGUCUGUCGACAGACCCAUUUUUCGGCGGGAAAAUUAGCGCCCAUUUUCUCUUUCCGACGAAAAAUUUAAAUAUAAAAUAAAAAUAGAAAUAGAACACAAUGAAUACGUAAGUUCUCUAUAAUAGAUUACUGAUGUGAAAAUCCUAAAAUAUAAAUUUUUUAUUUAAUUUCAAAAGUAAUUUUCUAUAAACAGAUUACGGUGUGAAAUCCUAUAAAAAUAUUUCCCAUUUAUUUUAAAAUACUUUUUAAGAUAUUAUCUAUUUAAUUUCAAAAUAUAUUUUCUUUUUAAGAUAACGGAUUUUAUUUUUCUAUUUAAUUUCAAAAAUUUAUUUCCUAACAGAUUUUAUUUUUCUAUUUAAUUUCAAAAGUAAUUUUUGCAUUAGAGAUUAUUGUUAAUUAUUUAUCAUUUAAAGCAUAUCUUUCUUAAUAGCGUGAUUUAUUAUUUUAAAUUUUUUAGAUACAUAUUUGGCAAUCAUAUAAAAUAUGACCUAAAAUUAAAAAAUAAUUUAAAAAAAUUAUAACUUUUUCUAAUAAUUAUUAUGUGCAUUUGCACGUACAUUUUACUAGUAUAUAUAUAUAUAUGCAGAAAGUUACAUAAAAGAAAUUCCUAUCUCUCUCAAAAAAAAAAAAAAGAAAAAAAAAGAAAAAAAAAGAAAGAAAAAAAAGAAGAGUUCCUAUGGACAAUUAUUUAUUCUUGCAGCGGUUCACGUACGCAUGCAUAUAUAAUUCAGUUGUGGCGGGUUUGAAUCUGUCGAGAGCGGGAGACAUGCAAUGAAGAGGGGCACGUUGCUGCACUAAAAAGCUGGUGCUGAAAGCGGGGGCGCGCCCGCCAGUCGCCCUCGUUCGUGCCGACGGCCGCCGUGCGGUCAUGACGUGACCGUAGCUGGCGGGCCCCACCGUACUCCCAACUGCAUCUAUAUUAUAUAUUAUUUAGGGUUAAUUUCGUAGAGAUCACUGCAAAUAUAAUAAAUUUGAAAUAUAUUUCUAUAAAAUUUAAUUUAUAUAUAUAUAUAUAUAUAUAUAUAUAUAUAUUAUUUUUAUAAAAAUUUUGAUAUUUUUAAAAUAUUCCUCUAGUUUGUUACCGUUAAAAUAUAAGUGAAAUGACUUUUUUACUAUCAUAAAAACGUUCCUUCAAAAAUAUCAACUAUUAAUUAAAAAAAAUUAAAAAAAUCAAUUCAUCUCGUUAACAAACUAUAAUUAAAUAUUUUAUCUAUGAUUAGUAAAUUUUUUUUAAUAGAUCAUGACGGUAUGGACAUAUUUGAAAAUAUCAAAAUUUUUAUUGAAACAAUAUAUAAAAAUUAAAUUUUAUAAAAAUAUAUUUAUAAUUUACUGUAGUUAUAGUAUAAAAUUAUCAAUCCUAUUAUUUGAGUGAACCACGAAAUCAGGAGUAAGAGAUGCGGGCCCCACGGUUACAAAUUGGUGGUAUGGUCCAGUGAUUGUACCCUGGUAAUUAAUUAAAGCCGUAGCAUGCACCCGGUGCACGUCUGUUCAUCUUGUGCACCACAUUUUUUUUUUUUCAUUGCAUUGAAUGCUACGGGCUACUGCCCUAGAAGGCAUGUUUGCUAAGCAGGACCGUUAACUCAUUGAAGUAGUCGGUUAUUCCCGCACAAGAUUGUAAAUUCGCAACAUAUAUACGAAGGGUUGAUAGAUUUUCUGCUUUCUACUGUCUGAUGUUUAGAAUUUUGGGUAUUCCACAGGUUUGCUCAUGAAUCUGUCCAACCCAAUACUAGGCCGCAGUUUGAAGAUCGAUGGAAUGGACAGCUUAUAAAAAAUAGCGACCACCAUUAUUUAGGACAAUUGGUUCAUACUCUCUUAGAAAUGAUAUAUAUAUAUAUAUAGAUAUAAAAUAAUAAAUUUAUGAGAUCUUACCCAUUAAACUUUGAUCUAAUGGUUGAAACUUUAUAUAUAAAUGGGCUUUUUUAUAAUUCAAUUGGGCUUUAUAUUAAGGUUGGGCUAAAGUUUAAAUCAUAAAAAUUUAUAUAUAUAUAUAUAUAUAUAUAUNGAUUUCCGGCAAAUAAAAAGUCUGAAGGUUUUGCAGCAGUUAGAAAGCAAAAAUUGAGUUCUUAAAAUUCAAAUAUAAAUUUUAAUUUGAAACUUCUAUUUCUGCUGCUGCUAAACACUGUUAGCAAGAUUCUAGCAAAAUUGUUUGUGUAUAUGAUAAAGAAUUAUAUCUGUGCAAAGACAUUUACACCUCAUUGAGGAGUAACAACACUAUUGGGAUAAUCAAUCAGCUCUUCCCUAGGAGGCCCCCUCUCUCUCUCUCUCUCUCUCUCUCUCUCUCAAGGGUGGAGAUUGACAUAAUGUUGGUGGGUCCUAGCAAAAGAUAGGGAAAGAGAAGAUAGAAGAGAGUUCGAGAAUAAAUUAUUACACUAACCUAUCUACACAUUCACCACUAACCUAUUUACACAUUCACCGGAAUCUCUAUUUAGGCUUUUAUACGGUAGUUCAAUCUCCUGACCUUAUGUCGAAUAUCUAGAUGUCCUACCAUUAGAACUUCAGUACCUUGGCCAUGGGCCGCGAUUUCCUAAUACACAAACCUAGGGGAAUAUAAUUUUUCAUGAUUUUUUUUUUUUCAUGUAGUAACAAACGACAAACGCCUUAAUAGUUAAUACUCUAAAACUUUAAAUUUAAAAUCUCCAAGUUUGACCUACUGUCCUUAGAGUAAGUGGCAAAAGAUUUGAUAAUUGAUAUUCGAGAUCCUAAGUUCGAAUCCUAGUUGAUUCAUAUUUCUUGCUAAGUUUAUUUUCUAAAUAAAAUAAACGAAGCGGGUAGCGUGCUAUCUAUCUCUCUCUUAAAAAAAAAGUAUCUCCAAGUCUGAAUUUUCGUAUUUAAGAGAUCCUGAUUUAUAGAUCGUGCGUAAAAUUAGAGAAAUGGAGGAUGAAGAAUUAUUGCAUGUAUCGAGUAAUGUUAUUCAUAUACUUACAAAUUGGUGUAAAUUCUACACUGUCUAAUUGGUGGAUUUCUCAUCAAUCACCUUGAUGUCAUUGAUGAAAAGAUUCCACCUAUUAAAUAGGUGGGGUACAAAGUAUACGCCUUACAUGGGGUGCAUAUAUAGGUAGUAUCAAGAAAUUAAGUGCCGUCGCACGGGUUGUGCCAGAAACUUGCCAACACGAUACGUGUCGAGCCGUACCGAUCAAAAAAGUACUUUUGUGCCGACAUAUAAUAGCAUGAAAUAUUUAUUUUCUUUAGCAACAAAAUAUUCUAACUAUUUAUUAUAUCUUUUUAUUACAUCUUUUGAACUUUAUUGAGGAAAUUACUUAUUAAUUUAAAGAAUAGAGGGUUUUGAGUUGUGCCAUUGGUACGGGAUCGAUGUAUACGGCCCGUGCCGACGAAUAUCUUAAAACCUUAUAUAUUCUGAUGCAUGAAUACGUGAAUUUAUACGAGCUGAAGCCAAAAAAAAAAAAAACAAAACAAAGACAAGAAAAUCUAGAGGGGUCAGAGUGGGUUAUGUGCAUGUCACUGUUGAACGAAACGUGGAAACAGUAAGCGGGCGAAGGGCCUCUUCUGAAUAGUAUGGAUCAGUAGCAAAACUCCUUUCUAAGAUUUUAUGCGACUCACCGUCCCUAGGAGAUUUAAUGAUUGAUAUGUGAGAUCUAAAACUCAAAAUCUAAUUAUUUCAUAUUAUUAGUUGAAUUUUUUUUAAAAAAAAAUUAAUGAAGUGGAUAGCAUGCUGUACGUCUAUCUCUCUAAAAAAAAAUCUAUGCCACUCGAUCUCUGUAAAACUUUUCUUUCCACUAAAAUUGUUAAUGCUAAAUUACACUUUUGAUCAUUAAAUUAUGAGCUGUGUGACAUUUUGAUUCUCAAACUUUGAUUUAUUAUAAUAUUUUAGAUGAAUUUUUUAAAGUGUAAUCGAUGAGACGACAAUAAUUAGAUACCAUAUUACUUGCACAUUAGCGAUACGUCAAUAUUUAAUCAACUAAAUUAAAUUGUAGAAUUUAAUUUUGACAAUCCAUUCAGAAACUAGACAAUUCUUUUGAAUUUUUAAUAUUAAAAAAAUGGAAGUGCAAUAAAACUUAAGUGAAAAUUUGGGCUUUUGGAUAAAAAGGGUAUAAGAUUUCCACGUACAAUUGGAUAUACAUGCAGCAUUGCUCAUACAAAAUUUGCUGAUUUAUUUCUACAGAAGUGUUAUUGUUAGGGUAAAAAUGUUUCAAGGAGCACUGAUAAGAUUCUACACAGAACUACUCAGAAAACUAAAAGCUCAUUUUAACUACAUACCAAGGCAAAAACUGUAACUUCUCUGCUUACUACCUGAUGACUAGUAGAUACUGUAUUUUAUAGAGAAGCAAUUCCAAAAACUAUGUUAUAAAACCGGUUUUACAAAGCCAAAAUCAGUAGCAUUAUUUAUGGGCAAAUGAUUCUUCUGGCCAUGGCAUCAUACAAGAAGAUCACACAAAAAUCAGCUAAGUCUCCCUCGUCUGACAAAUCAAAACAGAUUACAACUAUAGCAACCCUACAAGACAAGAGAAGGGCUACCAAGAAGAGAGUCCAUGGGCUCCUACAAAUAGGAAAAAGGAGACUUUGGUGCUGUGCAUUGGAUUAUCAACAGUAGCUCAAACACCACCACCAUUGGAUAAACCUAAGUUUUAGUAAUGCCAUAGCCUGAUGUUAAUAGGGAUGCAAACCGGGUGGAUCUGGGGGUGGGAGCCACGCCCCGCCUCCCGCCCCGACUAGCAAAAUCCCGCCCCGCCUCCCGCCCCGAAUCCGUGACGUGUUAAAAAAUACGUCCCAUAAUCCGCCCUGCCUUGUAAUCCGCCUCCCGCCGGCACCCCGAAUCCGCCCCGCCAACUAAUAUUUUUUAUAAAAAUUAUAAUAUUAUUAAUAUUUGGUAAAAUAUAAAUUAAUAAUUUUUAAUAAAAUUAUAUAUAUAAUUUAACAAUAUCAAUUAUAAAAAUAAAAAAAUAUCAAUCGUAAUUCAAAAUAAAAUUCAAAAGUUUCAAAUACAUUAAAAAUGAAAGUACUAAUUUAUUUCUAUUUUAAACUUUUUUGUAAAUACAUUACUUUUUAGGAAUAUUUUUUAAAAAUAUAAAUGAUUUUUAGGGCGGAUCAUGGCGGGGCGGAUUGAGGGUGGGUCAAAAUUUCUCUCGUUUCCUGCCCCGAAUCCAUCUCGGAUCGUAAAAUUUACCCCGAAUCCGUUUAUUUUCUCCCAUUUACCGCCCCGUCGAGGCGGAUCGGGGCGGGAGCUCCACCAACCCAGAUCCGUUUGCAUCCCUAAUCCCAACCAACACUAGCAAGUAUUAUGAUCUAAACACAACCAAUUAUCUAAUCACUCAUAGAGAAAACAAAUAUAAAUAUUUCAAAGUAAUCGACCGUUCCUAGAGCAAGUGCAAAGGGCUUGGUGGUUGGUACUCGAGACCUAAGUUCGAAUCCUAGUUGAUUCACAUUUCCAGGUAAGUUUAUUUCUAAAUGAAAUAAACGAAGUGGUUAGCGUGCUACCUAUCUCUCUCAAAAAAAAAAAAAGAAAUAUUUCAAAGUAAGUGCAAACCAAUCAUCCAAACAGUGAAAAUCUACUUAACCUCGCAUCAAUCCUAAUCAAUCCUAAGAUUGCUGAAAACAAAGUUAGAAUCAAAACAAAGAUAAAACCCUAGGGCUUUUCCUGGGAGGAGAUCUAGGGUUUCUCAUGACGGGGUCGGGUGAGCAGAGUCAGAAACCAGCAGCGAACAAAGUGGGAGCGGAGUAAGCUCAGAGAGAAAGAAAGGAAGGAAGAGAGAGAGAGAGAAAGAAAACAUGGCGAGUCCACGCAAAGCCAGUAAUGGAAAGGUCAGGUAAGGGGGAAGUUCAUGGGGCUCGCUAGUCGACGCGCCAUGGCGAGUAGACAACGAAGCAGUGCUGAAGAAAAAGAGAUGUGAGGACAUAGGGGAAGAGCAACGGAGUCCUCCAAGCCCUAAUCCGUGCCAACCCGACAUGAUCCGGCCCUCCUCGAUCAAGAGAGUGCUUCUAGGGUUUUUAUUUAUGUCGAUCUCUUCGGAUUUAUAGAUAAAGAAGGUAAUCGAAUGACUUUUUCAGUAGAGGAAGCUAAUUGGACAGUGAUAAUAUACGAAUCGAGGGAUAGGUUUGGGAAACAAAAACNUAGUAAUGCCAUAGCCUGAUGUUAAUAGGGAUGCAAACCGGGUGGAUCUGGGGGUGGGAGCCACGCCCCGCCUCCCGCCCCGACUAGCAAAAUCCAGCCCCGCCUCACGCUCCGAAUCCGUGACGAGUUAAAAAAUACAUCCCAUAAUUCGUCCCGCCUCAUAACCCGCCUCCCGCCGGCGCCCUGAAUCCGCCCCGCCAACUAAUAUUUUUUAUAAAAUUAUAAAAUUAUUAAUAUUUUAUAAAAUAUAAAUUAAUAAUUUUUAAUAAUAUUAUAUAUAUAAUUUAAUAAUAUUAAUUAUAAAAAUUAAAAAUAUCAAUCACAAUUCAAAACAAAAUUCAUAAGUUUCAAAUACAUUAGAAAUAAGAGUACUAUCUUAUUUGUAUUUUGAAAUUUUUUGUAAAUAUAUUAUUUUUUAAAAAUAUUUUUUUUAAAUAUAAAUAAUCUUCGGGACGGAUUCGGGGUGGAUCAUGGAGGGGCGGAUUCGGGGCGGGUCAAAAUUUCUCCCGUUUCCUGCCCCGAAUCCGUUUCGGAUCGCAAAAUUUACCCCGUUUCCUGCCCGAAUCCGUUUAUUUUAUUCUAUUUACUGCCCCCGUCGGGGUGGACCGGGGCGGGAGCUCCACCAACCCGGAUCCGUUUGCAUCCCUAGAUGUUAAUACAUCCCCUAGUGCUAAAAAAUAUUUGAUAGUCCUGGCCUAUGUGGGAAUAGGGACUUCAUGUCAGAAACAAAGCAACUAAAACCAAUUGCUUUUGUUAAAAAGUAAAAGUUAAUGAUCUUGAAGUGACAUAUAGAUGCUCAAUUUCCAAUGAACAGAGUAAUUCAAGCUGCAGAGACAAAGCAUAGAACAAAAUAUCUGACAGUAAAAUUUACAGGCAAAUUAAAAGAAUGGUAGAAACCUCGAGUAGUUUGAAGAUGAUACCGAGAGCUUCUUCGUUGAAGACGAAAAGCUAAGCGCACCAACCCCAGCAGGAAAUUGAGGUCGGUAUGCGGCCGGUUCUUCUGAUAUACUCUGCUUGCUGGGCAGUUUUUGCCGCUUCUCUGUUUCUGUUGGCCUCGGCUGCUGCGCGCUUUGCCUCGGCCUUAUGCUUUGCUGCUGCCAACUUGUUCAUAAGCCUAUCGUGAGCGUUGGCUCUCAUCCUCUCCACCUCAACCUUGAUAUUCAUGGUUAAAAACAUAAGAUUCAUGUAAACAAACAAUCAAGAGAUACAGUGAACGAGGUUAGGAACAUCUGCAAGAAUCAUAGCUUUUUUCCCAUAGCCCAUUUAUCUUUUUGAACCAUAUAGCUUAUAACAAAUCUCUAAUUUCACUAGCUGUAGCUUGGAACUUAACAAGCCAUAACUGGAUUUCUUCUUAUCAACAGUUGAAUAUCCUUUUAACUUUUUCCAAAUAAAAAAAAGCAAUUACAUCUAAAGGGCAACACAUUAAAUUUUGAAUGGAAUUGAAGCACUCCUGAUGAAACUCCGAAACCUUGUAAACGAAUCCUUUUCAUUCCCUAAAGGGCCGUUAUUUUCCUUUCAGCCAAGCUGAAUUUCAAUACUAACAAAUAUUUACAAGGAGACUAAACGACAACAAGUAAUGGAAGUUAACACAGAACUAGAAUUUUUGCAGAUUUUCAGUGGUAGAUAGUUUCUAAAGGUAAUAUUAUACCUUGCCACAAACUGCAUAAGUGAAAAUUUUCAAAGGGACAUGCCAACUACAAGAGCAACAGAAUGAGAUGAUGAAAAUGUAGAUUCCACAAAUUAUCUUUAUUCUGAAUAAGUAGCCACAGUAUUACCUCAAUUUUUCUCAUUUCAGCUUCAGUUUUCGCUUUUUGAUGAUUUUCCCAUGCUUGGAUCUUCAUUUCUUCUUGUUUAAACCUAAAAAAUAAAGAAAGAUAAUUAUUACCACAGGUUGACAUCCAUAAAGUAACCAAUAUACAGAAGUUUGAAAAGUUCAGUGUUCAUCGAUUGACUUGUUUAUUCACAGACAAAGCUAAGAUACUUGUUGUCCUUAAAGAGGGUGAAAUUAGAAGCUCUAAGCAAUAAAAGAUCAUAAUAAAGUAAGAACCUGGCCAAGUAUUUUGCUUUCUCUGCCUCCUCCCAUGCUGUCGCACGGGUUUCAAUAACUCUACUAGCAGGACCUGGUUGGUCCAUGGACAAAGUAUUGAGAGAGACAGAUGCAUCUGUUCUCUGCUCCUCUCUGCUUGCCCAUGCCGCAAUGUUGGUCUUGCCUAACUGUGUGCCAAGAAUCAUUAUUUCCCUUCUAAUCUUCAUUUGCAGUUCCUGUUCGCUUAAUUCCUUUUGGCUACAAUCACCAUGAUUCUCAGCCAGGGCAGCUGCCUCUGAAGUAGGUCGUGCUCUCCUCGGAGUUGAUGGCCGCGAAGAAUUAGGGCUUCUCGUUGGUGUUGUAGAUCUUAAAGGAGUUCCAGUCCGGGAAGGUUCUUCACUUGCAAUGGGAGUCAUCUCGGUGCCCAUAUCUCUCAUGGAUACGGAUCUGACUGUUGACGGGGGAUUUACAAAUGCUGUAGCACUUUGAAGGGAUGUAGACGAAUCAUGGCGGCUAAUAGUAACUGUGAAAGGUUAAUUGACACAGGGUUGCUCAAACUAAAGUGAUGUUUGAAUAUUUUCGCAGUAAACAAUACUAAGAGAAAAGUGAUCAAGAAUUCACUCAACGAAUAUGCAAUUACUUUAUGAUACAAGGAAUUUAUUAGCCUUUUCACAGAGGAGAAGAUAAUAAUCAAAUCCAAAGUCAACAUGUAUCCAAAAAAAGUUGACCACAGUAAUAGCAAAGCAUUUGGCAUAAGUUCUUUUUCCUAGAAGCAGAAGCAGAAGCAAGGCUGUUAGCAAACAAACCCAAAAGCUGAAGCUACAAUUUGCAGCUUUUGCUUUCAAUUGUGGCAGUUCAUGCAGGAAUUUUGAUGAAAAAGCAGCUACUACUUUUUCAAAGAAUUCAGAGCUUUAACCAUGCCAAACAGGCCUAUCUUAUCAAUAGCUCGAAUCAUCAUCACCUAUCAGCAGAAUACGAAAUGACAUUGCAUAUAUAUAUAUCAUAGUAAAAUGUGACUACGAAACCAUCGCGUUUAAUGCACAAUCAAAUGCUACUUACUCUCAGAUUCAGCAACAAUAUUCUCCAUUUCUGGAUAGGGAUCAGGCACACAACAUGAAACCUUUGCUUGGUUAUGAUCAAUCCUCUUCGUUCCUAAUUCCUCCGUAACCUCGACCACUACCUUCGUGGCCGGGAACCUGUUACCAACCCCAACCUUAUCCAUCUUCUUCGGCAUUGCGCCACCAACUUUGCCUACCCUGUUCAAAUUAGGGCUUGCAAUCCACUUCUGCGCGUCGUCCCAUUUCGACGGGGCCGGUUUCGAGAAUGGCGGCAUGAUCGUUGCUGCCGCCACCAUCGCAGCUCGAUUAGGGUUCCGAUCCUUGUGGAACUCGAAAUUGGACGCUAUGCUCUCCGAAUCGAAAGAGUCCUCGUCCUGAGAUCGAAGCCUCGGAUCUCUCGAUCUGUGAGUGAUCGAGGUCUCCAACGAAGUGGAGCUCACCAUGUCCACAUCCUUGCACUCGUCGCAAACACUACCACCUAUCGAAUCCGCAUUACAGAUUCAGAAACCGAAUCGACUUAUAGGGUGGUUUUCGCAAUGUAGAGAGAUCGAGAGGGGCGAAUGCUUACGCCUUUCAUCGGUUUCCGACACGGUGAGCUCGGAUCUGAGCGAGAACUCGGACUCCACCUCUUCCGCCUCCUUCCUCCUCUUCUCCGCUCCCAACAACAUCGCCCGAAGCUUCUUCGGCGAGAACCCUCCUCCGCCCUAAAGCAUCAAAUCACCGUAAAAAAAAACAAAAAAAAAAAAGCGAUCAAAUCGACGAGAAUCAAAUGCCACGAUUUCCAAAUCUCGAUCUACAUCGAUCCUUAAUCCUCCCCAAAAUCGCCUUUCCACAAGCAACAGGAGAUCAAAUCGAAGCAAGAGACUAGACGAUCAAGUAGCAGGCGAACGGAUCUGAGAUUACCUGGUGAGAGAAUGGCUUCUCGAUCCGUUCGUAAUCCAUGGCGAGAUCUACUGCUACUCCACCACCACGAUCCCACUUCAGAGACUGCGGUGGCGCCGCCGCCGCCGCCGCCGCCGCAGGGGAGUGAGAAGGGGCCGGAGAAAUGGAUCCGAUGCGGCGGUUACUACUUGAGCUGAGUGCGGGGGGUAAGAGAAAGGGCUUGGGGUUGGGUAAUAUUACACUGUGUGCCACUCCCUUUUUUUUUUAUUUUUUCUUUAUUGAGAGUGAUUGAGAAACAGGGGAAAGUAUGGCUUUUGACCGGUCAAAAGAGCGGAUUUGGUAGGGGCAGUUACGACAUUUAAUGUGAUUGGUGAGGGUACAACGACAGAGUAGAUAAUGACGCACGGAGUACCUCACUAACGGUCACGUUUUAGGACUUUAAGUUCCGUGCCUAGUCAAAUCAUAGUCCCUUAGACACCACGAGCAAGUACAUUCGUUUGAUUUAUUUCUUUUCCAAUCUCCGUAGUAGCUCAUUAAUUCAUAACCUGUUACGGACCCAAAAAAGAUACUAAAUUACUGUUCAACUGGAUCAAUCAGUCAUUAAAUUUAUCGACAUUAUACCAUAAGGUACCGUUUGGUUCGGGGAUAAUAAAUUUGGGGAUAAAUUUUUUUAACCCUGGGAUAGUAGGCUAGUCUAGGAUAGUGAAGGAUAAAAGUAAAAUAGUGUUUGGUUUGUAAAACAAUCAUUACUAGGAAUAACAGAAAUUAUGUUUGGUAAGUUUAUUAGAAUAACUAAGAAUAGUGAGAAAAAGUGUUAGAUUAUUUUUGCAAAUACCAAUUUUGCCCUUAGGUUUCAUGUACAAAUAUUUUGUAAGUUACAGAACUAAUUAGAUUUUACAUUUAGCUAAGCAAGAGAACAUUUUAUAGACAUGAUUGUUGGAUUAAUUUUUUUUAAAAAUUUAAUGUCAGAAAUUAUGGUAGUAACAUAUGCUGAAGAGAAAAUAAUUAAAUUUAUGCACUUCAAGUCACUGUUAAAUAAAAUUAAUAUCGUCAAAUUAUACAAGAAGGUUGUUAAUUACAUCAAAUUUAAAAUUACAACAAAGUUCAAUGCUGCUUAAUUACUAUUAUACAAAACCAAACAGCAUGAAGGUAUUCAAGAGGAUGUUAAUUACAAAUUCCCAAAGGCAUAAAACCAUAAAGAAGACACAUUACAUUGAAAAAUAUCAACAACCAACUCAUACAAUUAUCAACUAUUUUUUCAAAUUUAAGCAAUUCAGAUUGCAAGUAACAAUGCAAAUAGUUAAAAAACAUCCGGUUACGAAAAAUUUUCAAACACCAAUUAGUGAAGGUUCAAGGUGAAGGCAAGAUACAUAACUAAAUAAAGCAAAUUACAAAGCAUGUUCACACAAAUUUAUAAAGAUUACAUCAUUUCUAAUAUAGCCUCCUAUCUAUUGUUCCACAAUUGCUCUGUGAUCAUAGUGCGAAGGGCGUCACCUCGCCGAGACUCAUCUGGGCCAAUAGGAGGUAUCGAGUCAUCAUUUUGGUCGUCUGUAGGAAAUUGGUCCGUUUGCAUGUUGAAGUAUCUAUCGGUCCCUUGAUGCCUCUUUAUGAAAUUGUGUAUCACACAACAGGCAAGGGCAAUGCGGCACUGUACUUUGUAAGGAAAGGGUGUAGCUUGUCGCAGCACCUUGAACCGUCGCUUUAGGAUCCCAAAGGCUUUCUCAACUACAUUUCUCAAUUGAGCGUGACGAUGAUUAUAUAAAUCUCGAGGUCCUCGAUGCCUUCGUGCCUGUGCGUUUACAUCAAAUUGGCUCAAGUGGUAUCGCUCGCCUCGAUAGGGAGCGAGGAAGCGGUCAGUGUUCGCAUAGCCUGAAUCGACUAAAUAAAAUUUUCCUAAACAAAUAUAAAGCUUUAUUAUAAUUACAAUAAUUAAACUUGUAUCAGACAUUAAAUAGCAAUAUAAUUUAUUUACCUCCCGGUACUGUGAAACCGCCGCUCUCGCAACACCAUCGCAACACCCUCAUAUCAGCUGCAGAACCCUCCCACCCGGUGCAUACAAAUAAAAAUUGAUGGUCGAAAGAACAUGCUGCCAUCAUGUUGUGAGAUGUAAAACCUUUUCGGCAACGAUAUCUUGGUUGCUUAGCCUUUCGUACAACCACCGGAAUGUGUGUUCCAUCUACUGCACCAAUUGCAUUCUGAAAAAAUAUUUACAUAGAUACAAUAGUUAACAUCAGAUAUCUCAUUAUCAAAUAAACAUAAAUUAAUUCGACUAAUUAAAGAACUCAAAUCUGAGGGUUAGUUACCUUGAAUGGAUGAAAAAUCGGAUUAUCUUUUAUUCUUGGGUGUACACCAACAUUAGAUGCCGGUGGUUGGAUGUACUCAUGUCUAAGUUCUACCACACCUCGCAGUACAUUAUUAAAAUGCCUACUAAUCGUUUCUCCUGAAUGUUGAAAAGUUUCAGCUAAAACUCUGUUGGCUACGCCAUGACCUAUACCAAAUAAAAAUAUACCAAGUUGCUCAUUAGCAGUUAAAUGCCUAGUGCUUUGUAUAAAUCCCCUCGCAACUAAUUCAUCUCGAAGUCUUAUAAACAUUGUGGUAGUCAUCCUAAAAUGUUGGUAUCCUCUAUCAGGAUGUCCACUCAAUAUGUCAUGAAUUAACUGAUGACCAGUGAACGGCCGUGUUCGACAAGGCUGCUUAUAAAUUGUGCUGCGGAAUGAGAAGUCCCCUUCUUCGAUAAGUAACGCAUGGACUUCUUCCCAAUAGUCCUCUUCCUCUUCUAAGAAUGUCAUGAGAUCGGCAACAAGUGGUGAAGAAAAAGCUUGACGAAAGAUUGCACCAGCCAUGACUGCAAAUGAACAAAAGAAAACAUUCAUAACACAAUUAUAGUUAUAGAUUAAUUUAUAAUGGCUCAGGUAGUAAGGUAGAAAAAUAUGCAGGUGGCUGCAUGGUCUUUAACCAUGCCUCCCAACCUUGCACACCUAUUUGGUUAGAUAUCAGCAUCGCCAAAAGGAGAAAGAAGGAUGCAAGAAAAGAAAAAAGGGUAAAGAAGAUGUGAAGCUGAAGCAAGAAUCAGGUGCACAAGAUUAUAAGUGACAGUAUUGCAAAUAGUCAAGUAAGCAAAUUACUGCCUUACAGCUGAAAUUCCAUAUAUGAAUCAAAGCUGAAACAAAGUAUAAAUGGUGAUACUUUGUGUUGGCUCAGGUUUUAAGACCCACAACCAUGAAUGUGGAUGCAAUACCUUACGAAUCGCCGCCCAAUCCAUUCAAGCCUGCUAGUCUUUUAUCAUCAUUGCCGAAUUCAUUGCCAAUAUGACCACAUGUAGAAUAUGAUCUGGGAGAAGAAACAACUUACCUUGGGCGGCACUGAACUAACCACAUUACUGCAGGUUGGAAGAAGAAAUGAAGCAGUGAACAGUUGGAGAUCGAGGUGAAAUGGCAUCCAACAGAAUGUGAGUAAAAGCAACAAUGUUGCAAGUACAAGUAUAGAUGGUCACAUAUUGUGUUGGCUCAGGUAUUAAGGCCCACAAGCAUGAAUGGUGGAUGCAACACCUUACGAAUCGCCGCCCAAUCCAUUCAAGUCUGCUAGUCUUUUAUCAUCAUUGCCGAAUUCAUUGCCGAUAUGACCCACAUAUACAUUUAGAUGUAGGAGAAGAAAGAACUCACCUUGGGUAGCAGUGUUCUAACCACAUCACUGCAGGUUGGAAGAAGAGAUGCAGUAGUGAACAGUUAGAGAGGUGAAAUGGCAUCCAACAGAAUGUGAGUAAAAGCAACAAUGUUGCAAUUACAAGUAUAAAUGGUGAUAUAUUGUGUUGGCUCAGGUAUUAAGGCCCACAAGUAUCAAUGGUGGCUGCAAUACCUUAAUAUUGCCCCCCAAACCAUUCACACCUGCUACUCUGUUACACAUCAUUGCCGAACGGACCAACAUGUAAACCGACAGCUGACAGGAGAGAAGAAGAAAAGUUAUACAAUGAAGUAAACAAGCAGCGAACAAUCAAUGCAAAGAUAGGUAUACAAAGCUGUAUUCGAACUACACUCAUUUGUUAUACCUGAACUUUACAAUCUGAACAAACUAGUUUUACAAUGCAGUAAACAGGUAGUGAAGAAACAAUAUAAAGAAAGCUAUAUAAAGCUGUAGAUGAUCUACACUAAUUAUUUAUACAUGAACUAUACAAUCUGAACAAACAAAUUUUACAAUAAAGUAAACAGACAGUGAAGAAGCAAUGCAAAGAAAGCUAUACGAAGUUGUAUAUAAAUUACACCAAUUAGUUAUACAUUAUCUUUACAAUCUCAAAAAACAAGUUUUACAAUUUAGUAAACCUGACAGUGAGAAAUCAAUGCAAGUAAACCAAUACAAAGCUGUAGAUAAACUACACCAAUUAGUUAUACAUGAUCUUUACAAUCUGAACAAACAAGUUUUUCAAUAAGGUACACAGGCAGUGAAGAAAUAAUGCAAAGAAAACUAUACAAAGCUGUAGAUGAAAUUCACUAAUUAUUUAUACAUGAUCUAUACAAUCUGAAGAAACAAGUUUUACAAUUUAGUAAACUGACAGUGAAGAAGCAAUAUAAAGACAACUAUACAAAGCUGUGGAUGAACUUCACUAAUUAUUUAUACAUGAUCUAUACAAUCUGAACAAACAAGUUUUACAAUUUAGUAAACUGACAGUGAAGAAGCAAUAUAAAACAACUAUACAAAGCUGUGGAUGAACUUCACUAAUUAUUUAUACAUGAUCUAUACAAUCUGAACAAACAAGUUUUGCAAUUUUGUAAACUGACAGUGAAGAAUCAAUGCAAAAAAAGCUAUAAAAAGCUGUAGCUGAACUACACUAAUUAGUUAUGCAUGAACUUUACAAUAUGAAUAAACAAUUUUUUCAAUAAGGUACACAGACAGUGAAGAAACAGUGCAAAGAAAACUUUACAAAGCUGUAGGUGAAAUUCACUAAUUAUUUAUACAUGAUCUAUACAAUCUGAACAAACAAAUUUUACAAUUUAGUAAACUGACAGUGAAGAAUCAAUGCAAAAAAAGCUAUAAAAAACUGUAGUUGAACUACACUAAUUAGUUAUGCAUGAACUUUACAAUAUGAACAAACAAGUUUUACAAUGCAGUAAAUAGGCAGUGAAUAAGCAAUGCAAAAGAAGUUAUACAAAACUGUAGAUGAACUACAUUAAUUAGUUACAAAUGAACUUUGUAAGAUAGUUGGUGUCAAACUAAUGAAACUAAACAAACUCACAAAAAUGUACAUAACCAUGAACUUUGCAAUUAAAAGUUAAGGCAUACAACUUAAAUCAGUACAAAAUAAACCAUGAUCUAACUUAUCCUAAUCAUGAGUUAGAGCAAACAAACAACUGAAAUUGAAAUACAACAUAUAAAGUAAAGCAUACAACUAAUAUAAAAGGGAGCAAUCCAUUAGUUUAGGCAUGUAGGCAUCUCGGCUACCAAGCACACAAAAUAGCUAAUGAGUUUUUGCUAACAUAAAGCAUAAAUACUAAGCGUGAGCCAUGGACACAAAAUAGCUAAUGAGUUCUUGCUUACAUAAAGCAUAAGUACUAAGAGUGAGGCCACCAAAAUGUCGCUACUUCAGCAAUAUUGCUGUGAGCUUAAUUUGGAGGGAAAGAACUCCCUGCCGGAGGAAAGGAAGGUAUAUCAGCAGGAUCGGAAGGAGCUGAUAGAGGAAACAUGGUUGUACGGCUUGAAAAAGAUGGUCCAGGAGGGAAACCUGCACUUGCUGCCGGAAAGGAUGAUGGUCCAGGAGCAAAUGAUGAGGCUGUUGUUGGAAAGAAGGGUGCGGUUGAUGGGAAAGAUGGCGCAACAGGCCUGAGACCAGUGAAAAGUUGAUGCAUGGCAAUUUGACGAUCUAUCCACAUAUACAACAGAUCGCCAUUCAUUGCCAUGAAAAUUGGCCUAUUGCGCUCAUCUUUUAAAGCUUCACAAACAGCAAGUAAACCAUCGGGAGACAACUUAGCGACAUUGCUCAACCUUUCCAUACACUCCUCUAUGGAGUGAAUUUUGGGUCUUGCAUGUAACUCACGUUGCAUUAAAGUUUGAGCAAUCUCCGUUCUUUUCUUUCCCAAUUCAACAAGCUCAUAAAUUGCUUCCGUUCGACCGUCAUCCUUACGUCUACGGGUUGAAGAUGGUGUAGGGAUUGGUGGCGAGACCCGAACCCUCUUCAUUGAUGAAGUGUGGCCAGAGGCACUACCAGUAUAUUGGCUACUUACUUUAAUUGGAGUUUGUGUUGGAGACGUUGAAUUUGCAUCAUUAGCAUCAUCUAAAUUCUGUGCUAGAUUCUCCAUAUUGAGCGCAACCGGAGAUGAUGAAGAGGUGCUACGAACAUCCUCAUCCAUGUUGGAAGUAAACCCAUGCUUCCCGGUUGCAGUUGCUUUUCCCGACAAAUACUCAAUAGAGUCAUAUGCAGGAAAAGGCUUGUCCCUACAUUUAGCAUAUGCUGGAUUUUCCUACAAAUGUGGAAAUCAUUGAUGAUAAGUUAAUAAAAUCUAUGUAAAUAAAACAACUUGACUUAUAUAAAAAUUUUGAACAGAAUAAAAAACUUACCGCUAUGAUAGCAUCCCAAUCAGCUGGGUCACCGGCAGUGGGAAUGUUUUGGAUGUGGUCCCACCCCCAUCCACUUUUGUUUGCCAAAGUUUGAUACAUCAAAUAUUGACGCUUCAAGACUUUUAACCGAUUUUGCAAAUUGACUUUGUUAAAGCAUAAUUUUGUCCUCUCAUUGAAAUCGUGAACCAUUCGAGUCCAUGCUAAUGGGGUAAAGCUCCCAUUAACAAAAUUACCAAGAGCAUGCUCCUCAGUCAUUAAGUUCAACAUUGCCGAGUCCAUAUUUUCUGUCCAGUUCGAGGAUCUUACUCGGGUUUUCGAUGGUUCCUGCGGUGGCCCAUCUAAACUUUGACUAUCAGCAGAGGGCGCAGCAAAACCUUUGUUUUUCAACGACUUUUUAAGAUGGGCCAUCUGGGAUAAACAAACAUAGAAAUCAUAUUUGUAUUACAACAAAUAUAUAAUACUGGUUUAGCACAAUAUUUGAGUGAUAUGUUAUUUUGUCAAAAUGCUCAGGGGAGAAGGUUACAUAUGAUUUCAUGACGGAUGCAAUAGUUUUUAAAAAACCAUGCCGCCCAUGCCAUGAAUAUAUAUAUAUCGCCUUUCCCUACAUCAUUGCCAUUAUAUUUUUAAAACCGUGCCUCAAACAAACUGAAUUAGAUCAGGAUAUAGCUAGCAACUUUCAAUUCAUCAUAGGACCUCUUUGCAAUCUUAUAUUGAAUUAUGAUUAGGUGAAGUAAUUUCAGCUUGAAAGUUUCUUCAAAUCAAAUGAUCAAACUUGUACAGCUUUCUAUAGUUUUCUUUGCAUUGCUUCUUCACUCCCUGUUUACUUCAUUAUAAAACUUGGUUGUUCAGAUUGUAUAGUUCAUGUAUAAAUAAUCAGUGUAGUUCAUCUCAUAUUUUUUCAAAAUGCUCAGGGGACAAGGCUACACAUAAUUCCAUGACGGAUGCAAUAGUUUAAAAAAAACCAUGCCACCCAUGCCUUGAAUAUAUAUAUCGCCUUUCCCUACAUCAUUGCUAUUUUUUUAAAAAAAUCCAUGCCUCAAACUGAACUGGAUUAGAUCAGAAUGUAGCUAGCAGCUUUCAAUUCAUCAUAUGACCUCUUUGCAAUCUUACACUGAGUUAUGUUCAGCUACAAAUAAUUUCAGCUUCGAAUUAUCUUCAAAUCAAAAGAUCAAAGUUGUAUAAAAAAAAAUAUAGAAACUGUAUGAUGCAGUCAUAAAGUAUGAUCAGCAAUACAUGGGUGCUGUCAUAAAUUAUGGCAAUAGGAAAAUUAUAAAUCAAGCAUAAAGUCAGGAUGCAAAGUUUCUGUGUAUCAAAUAAAAUUUUUAAGAAACUGUGGGUUUGUAAAAUAUCUUGAAAUAGUUUAAAAAAUGAGAUUUAACAGCAUGCGAGCAAAAGAGACAGACAGAUCCAAAAUACACUAGAAAAUUGGGGUAAAAUCCAUAAAACCUCACCUCGACGAGAUUAAUAGAAGGCAGAAAUUAUCAAGAGUGAACUUCUACACCAGCACAGAUAUAGUAUAGAAGCAAAGAUCAGAUUCCAAGCAAGAUGCAAAAAAGAACCAGUACCUUCGAAUCCCACUCAAUUUUAUAGAUGAAAGGGGGCACAAAUAGUCCAUGCCUUCUACCUGCAAGGCUAGUGGUCGCACUAAAUGGGCGACUUGACAACACAGGGCAUACAUCCUGCAGAACCCACCUCGAUUUCUUGCCUCAGAAGCCCACAACAGAUUUUGAGCGAAGGAAAAACCAAUUUAUACCAGUCAAAUCCGAGGGUUUGAGAGAGGGGAUACAAAAGAAAACAGAUCUCAACUGGGAUCUUCCUCACAGACUGCGAGAGGAGUAUAGAAGAAGAAAGUAAAGGGCAAAGAGGAGUUACCGAUGAACGCAGAUCUGAUACAAGAUCUCGCUCAUUGAUUAUGCUGACUGCGAAAUGACAAAAGAGGCAUAAAGCGAUGGUUUAUGCUCGCCCAACACGAGGGGGAGGGAGAUCGGCGGAGUAAUGAGCGAAGAGAGAGGUAGGUGAAGAGCAUUAACGAAGAAGAAGAGGCGAAGGUAGGUGAAGAGCAAUAACGAAGAAGAAGGAGAAGGGGCAUCGCAGCUUUUUCCAACCCAUGCCCCUGGGAUAAACCAGCGGAAAUGCCCUAUUCCGCUGGUCCCAGGGGUUAGCUCUUAACGGGUUAUCCAAGGAUAACCCGUUAAGAGCGGGAUUAAUUAUCCCACCAAAAAACUGCACUGUUUGGAAGGUUUAGCAGGAUAAAAUGGUCUAAACCCACUUUAUCCUGCCAACCAAACACUGCCUAAAUAAAUAAAUAUUAUUAAUUAUAAAAUAAUAAAAAUAUAAAAGAUAAUUUUAAAUAAAAUUAAUUGAACCGUCUGCUUAAUAAUUUAUAGUUCGAAUCAGUUUAAUUAACACUUAAGCUGAUCUACGGUUUACCGAUUGAACCUUUGGUUAAAACAAGGUAAUACAGGUUUGAAAGUUUUUCCAUUUAUAGGGGCCGUUUGGUUAGAUGUAAUUAUAAAUACAGUGUAGUUAGAAAUGCAAGCAGUUUGAAAUACAGCAGUUAUAACUAUAUGAAUCUUAUUUGGUUGGAUGUAGUAGAAAACGCUGUAAGUAUAAAUAAUUUGUUUGGUUGUAUGCAGUUGAGAAAUAAUUUUUAAAAUUUUAUUAUUUUAUAUAUAUGAUGGUAAGAUUACCUCUAAUAUAAAAAAAAAAAAAAAUUUUAUUUAAAAAAUAUUCAGGAGGUAAGCAUACCUUUUAUUUAAAAUUACUUUUUUCAACUACUGUAGUUGGAACUGCGGCCAAUUUGGAUGUAGUUCGAACUGCUGCAAUUGGGCCUCCUCCUGCAGUUCCUACUGCAGUAAGGGGUUGUUUUGUUGCACUCAUUUGCAACUGCAGCAGUACAGUUGCAAAUGCGUGCAGCCUCAAUUCUUUUGUUUGGUUUAGUGUAGUUGAGUUCAACUGUUGCAGUUCCAACUACACAAGAAGGUCCAAAUGCUGCAGUUGAAACUAUAUCCAAAUUGGCCGUAGUUCUAACUGCAGCAGUUGGUGAUGGAUAGGAUCACCCACAAAUUAACAAUAAUAAAUAAAUAAAUAAAUAGCUAAAUAAAUAAAUAAUAUAUGUAUAUAGGUAAAUAAAAAUACUUGUAAAUAAACUCAUACUAAUAAAAUUUUUUAGACAAUACAAGCUUUGUGCAAAAAAAUCAAAAUUUUUAAAUUUUUUUUAUUUAAAAUAUAAAUAUAGUUUUUUUAAAAAAAUUUUAUAGAAUGUGAUCGUGUAUGUUAAUUUAAUAAGUUUUAAUUAAUUAUAAUUAUUAAAUUUGAUAAAAAAAAUGAGAGAAUCGUUAAAUUUUAAAGUUCGAUUUACAUAUUAAAAUUAAAUAAAUUAAAAAUUUUAAAUAUGUCGAUUAAUAAGUUGAAGAAUAUUAUAUAUAUCUACUUAUUUAUUUAUAAAUAGUAAAUUUAAAUGAUUAAUAAACUUAUACAAUUAUUUUAUGUUUAGUGAAGGUAAUCUCACCACUCUAUCUGAAAAGGUGACAAAAUUCACAAAUACAACUAUCAGCUUCAUAUUACCAAACAGAAGAAAUGUAACUGCAGCAGUUGCAACUGCGUAAAACCAAACAGACUAGGUGUAGUUACAACUGCAGCAUUUACAACUGCAUGUAUUUUCAACUACACUGUUUCUGCAACUACGUCCAACCAAACAGUCCCUAAUUGGAGUUAAAUAUAUCAAACCAAAAACGAAAUUUACAUUUACAUGCAGUUACAACUACAAUGCAAUUGUAACUACAUGCAACCAACCGGCCUCUUAAUGGGUUGAACCAAACCGGUCUAGAGCAUAUACACGGAUACGAAAUACAUGAUAUGACACGAACAUGAUGACUUAGAGUGUUCAAAAAGUUUGACAUGGACACGAUAUGACCACUUAUUAAAAUAAUAAUUAUUAUAUAUAAAAUAUUAAAUUUGUUAAAAUACUUUUAUAUUUCAUAAAAUUUUUACUGAUUGUUGAUAUGGUUUAAGGAAAGAAAAUUUUCAUCAUAUUUAAUUUAUUUAUAUUGCCCAAAAAAUUUAUAUACAUUCACAAAAAAAAAAAACAAAAUAUAAAUAAUUUUACAUUUUAUAUGCAUAAAAAAUAAAAUAAAAAAUGUAUAUUUUAAGGGAUGCGUCAUGGAUCAAUGUCAAACGGAUCUACAUAGCGUGUUGAGACUUAUAGAAAUAUAAGUGAUAUAUAGUGCAUAAUUGAAUUAUUUAAUACUGAAAUUUUAACACGUUAUAUGAUGCAUAAAUCUAGCGACAAUUGAAUCAAUAAUCUCAUAGAAUGAGAGAUUGUUAAAUUGACUUUAAAAUUAUGUUACGCAAAAGAAUGAUCUAAUAAGAAACGAGUUCAAAAACAUUUAUCAACAAAUUUAAAGUAAUUGACACAAUUUAUGUAAUAUGAUUAGAUUCCUACACACAAUAUGUAAUAUAAAUGGCUGUUACAUAAUGCAUUUAAUGCUACAUGUGAAAACAUGAACAAUUGCAACAACAUUCUUUUGAGUUGGCCUACUGGCCUAGUCAGAUAGGUGGAAACAUCUAGUCCCUUCGAAUUAAACUCCUCGAACUACUACAAUCGUGAUUUGAUGUUAGAGAUUCUCAUGUACCAUGUGUUCAAUCAAAGAUCUGUGACAUGAAUGGUUCUGAGAAGUGAACAGUUGAUGAGAGUUUUUUCUUUUCCCUCCUAAUAUCAUGCUAUUGACCAUUGAACAAUUAAUGCGUGUGGGCAUUUGCAGAUUGAAAUUUCCCUGAAACUGACUUUUUUUCUCUUCUUUUUUUUGACAUUCAUGCUCUUUGAAGUAUCUCCAAGCUACCUAAAUUCAAAAUUUCGAACUUUCUCAACUUAGCCAAUGGUCAAUGACACAGGCAGUGUGUUAAUUAAUCGACUUAUCGCUAUAUAAAUUAUCUUAAUAUCUGAUAAUACUUGAUUGGUUAAACUAAUGAGGAACUCAAGCGUAAGCGUAAGUGUUUUUAGAGAUACCGAGGAUAAGUAACUAAUGUAGAAUUGAAAGAAUAAGAGUAAGUAUGUUAAAUAAUGUAAAUUUCAGAGUUUAAAUAAUGUAAAACGACGGUUCGUAUCUAAAAGCUUAAGAUUCUAAAUAACGAUAGUUUUAUAUUUUAUAUUCAACAAAACACAACUAUUUCAUAGCAUACAGAUUUGUUUCGACAAGUUUGUAAAAUUCAAAGUUCUAUUUUGCAAGUUUGGAAAUUACUCUCUUAUCUCCCAUCUCAUCCUUCAGAGUCAGAAACAAAGAGGCAAUUCAUGUUUGUGAAUGCUUUGGUUCUCAACCAUGUCAGAUAAGAAAGAUGGAGAAUGAUUACUAGUGCAGGAGAAGUAACAAAGCAUAAGUAGCAUCGAAAAAUUGCAGAGUAAAAGCAUGCAAAGUUGAUAAAAAAACAACUGCAGUGAAAACUCACUAGGGUAAAAUAUACGGAUAGUCGCUGUAUUAGACCAAGGAAUGUUACUACUUAUAAACCGCCUACCGAUUAUGUAACCCUGAUUAUCUUACCUCAUUUUCUUAAAAAAAAAAGAGAAUGAAAUAACCUGAGUGACAAAUUUUCAGCGAGCUGCGCCCAGUUUAUGAUAAAGUCAUGAAGCAAUUGCAGAAGUAAGCAAAAGCAGAGUAAAUACUCAGCCAGUAAAGCUUAACUAGUCCAAUUGCUUAAAAACCAAUUCAUUUUACAUCAUUUUAGAGGACCCCCAAAUCCCAGAACACCAUGAACUAAACCUCAGGAAUCUAAUUACAAGAGAGGAGAACAAAAUGUGUCAGAAAAGGUUUUACUGACAUAGAAGAGCAUCAUACAAAGCUGUGUCCUCCUCUUUCUCUCUCGAUCCAGUAAACCUCUUGAUGCCAACAAAAUUGCUCUUUAUCUCUGAAUCUGUCUCACUUACAAAACCCUGAGAAGGACAUUUUCUGCGACUAGAGGAUCUACUACCAUGAAUUCAUAUAUUGGCAUUUACACCGUGUGAUUCCGGCUUUCGGAACAAAAAACGGGUCCUAAUUUACUUUUCAGUUGUUCGCAAAGCCACAUCCAUCAUACAAGGAUUCUGAUUCUUAAGAAGGGAACAGAGAUUCCCGGCAUGGUUAACAGUAUUUCAUCCUAAGUUUCACCUUAGUCGCAUACAUUUAUCCUAUUCAUGAUGCCAGGAUUAUGGAAGUGAGAAGAUCAAUAAACCAUGAUUUACCUGUGCACACAUUGACACAUAUAGAACCUAGUGCGAAUAAAAGAUCCCAUGAACCUUCAGAAAUUACCUGGAAUGCAUUGCAUUAUGUCUCAAAACCGAAAAAUAUCAAUAAUAAACUUGUUAUCAUCACAUUUACGAAAACUAACAGGUCCUUCCACAGUUCAGGUAAAAUAUAGCUCUAUUGAUAGAAAACUUUCACUUACAACUUUACAUGAGUAUUGUUUCCUCUGGUGGCGAUCUCAUCUCCACCUUACAGUGAAAAAAAAAGAAAGAAACAAAAAUAAAAAAAGAAAUUGCCCAAAGCCGACAAAAAAGAAACAAAAGGAGAGCUUUAACAUUUUGAGGAUAAGUAAAUGUUAUAUACAUUGGUUCUCCAUUAUUCUUUUAGGCACCUGCUAUUUGGACGCAGAUUUUCAAGUCCUUCACUUCGUCAACAACCGAUUUCCUCAAGCCAUGCGAGUAAUUGUUGCGACAAAGGCCUCAAUUUAGGGGAGUCACUAACACAGAGGCACGCAAUCUCGAGCAUUCUCAUAACCUCAUUAUUGUUCUCCUUAUCAUAUAUAUGCGGGUCGAUGACCUCCAUUCCCUUCUUUUCCUUCUUCAUCUGAAUUACCCAAGAAACAACAUCCCUACUUCCUUUCGGCUUACACAUGUCCACGGGCCUCCUCCCUGUAAGUAACUCUAGCAAAACAACCCCAAAACUAUACACAUCGCCUUUAUACGUCGCGACCGCAGAUUGCCCAUAUUCAGGAGGAAUAUAUCCCAAAGUCCCGACGAGAUCGGUAGUAACAUGUGUAUCGUAGGGCAAAAUUAGCCUCGCGAGCCCGAAAUCCGCCAAGUGUGCCUCGAAAUUCUCAUCUAGCAAGAUGUUACUAGACUUAAUAUCCCGAUGUAGGAUAUGAGGGUCGCAAGAUUGGUGCAAGUAUGCUAAACCCCUCGCGGCCCCUUGUGCUAUUUGAAUUCGCUUGCCCCAGUCGAGGACCGCACCCCCUUCUACCUUUUCAUGAAGCCAGUAGUCCAAACUCCCGUUCUCCAUGAACGAAUAGAUCAGGAGCCGGUCAUUGCCGAUCCUGCAAUACCCUUGGAGCAGAACAAGAUUCGUGUGCUGGGCUCUUGAAAGGGUUUCGACCUCGGCAUGGAAUUCCCUCUCCAUCUGACAAUAAUCGCCGGAAAGCCGUUUGAUAGCCACCUUACUUCCGUCCGGUAAAGUUGCUUUGUAGACCAACCCAAAGCCGCCGCAUCCGAUAAUGCGAGACUGAUCAAAGUUCUCGGUGGACUUCAGUAUAUCAUUUAUGCUCAGCUCCUUGCUCUCCUUGUUCUGAAACAGUAGAACCAAUCUCGACCCAGCCAACUCUAAGCUAUAAUCGAGGUCUGCCACGACCUUCGCAUUAUCUUCUCUUUUCCUAGACCGAAUUCUCAAAACGAUUAUAUAUGUAGCAAUGAUAAGGGAAGCGAUCCCCGCUCCGAUUCCAAUUGCCAAUCCGACUAUCGUGCCUUUUUUCUUAUGCUUCGUACUAUCCACCUGCGAAGAGGCGUUUUUUGGGCAAGGAAUCAAGUGAAUGCCACAUAGGCCAGGAUUUCCUUGAAAGUCUUCUUUAGAGAAAGUUGAGAACUGGCCUCCUGUUGGGAUUUCUCCAACUAAAUUGUUGUAGGCCACAUUGAAGUAAGAAAGAAAAUUCAACCUCGUCAAAGAUAGUGGUAUGGUACCGGUGAGAUGGUUGUGCGAUAAAUCCAAGGAUUCUAAACUCGACAUGCCCGACAAAUCGGGAAUAGUUCCCGAGAUAUUGUUCCAACUCAAAUCCAACACAUGGAGCUUCACAAGGUCGUUAAACCCAGGCAAGAUCGACCCAACAAGCUUAUUGUUGCUCAAAAUUAUCGACGGUGGAAAGCUGCUAACUUGAUUGUAUUGUAGACCCUUCCCACUCGAAUUUCUCUUGAUGAAAAAGGGAAAAUCUUGUGAUGCCGUCCUUUCUAGCGAUGAGUUACCGUAGAUGAGGCUCUUCAUGAGUGUUAAACUAGUAGGAAUUUCUCCGGUGAGCGAAUUAUUCGAUAUGUCCAAGUAGAAGAGAUUGUCCAGGUUUCCCAACCAUACAGGGAUCGUCCCGGUUAAAUGGUUCCAGGAAAUGUCCAAGACCUUCAAUUUGCUCAGAUUCACCAACCACGGCGGGAUAGAACCCGAAAGAGCACAAUUCGCAAUGACAAAGACUUCCGUGUUAGCAAAUCCUUGAAUCCCUUCGGACGGCAUUGACUCACCACCGCGAAAGUUCUUAGUGAACACAAGGUUUUUAAGAUUGGGCAAGUUUUGUAGGAUUUGUAGUGCCGAGAAUAAGUUGGCGAAGUUGUUUCCGGUGAGCGAGAGAUCGGACAGGGAGGUGAAGUUCUUGAAGCUAGAGGGUAUUUCGCCAACAAGAUUGUUUCUAGCAAGAUUUAAGGUGGUCAUUUGCGUGCAAUUGGGCAGAUCGGGAGGGAUAGGUCCGGAAAACAAAUUCGAUCCGAGGUCGAGGAUGUUUAACCUCGGCAAGGUUGUAAAGUUGAGAUCGAUGGUCCCCCGAAGAGAGUUAUUUCUCAAGCUAAUAGUAGUGAGUGUUGAACAACUAGACAAAGAAGGGGGUAAACCCCCAGUGAGUAUAUUGCAUAAAGCACUAAAGCACUCUAGCUUAUUUAAUCUAUCAAAUACAUCCGGGAUCACCCCGGAAAAGUUAUUGGAGGAAAUAUCUACAUGGACAAGGUUGGAAAGGUUUCCAAUGUUUGUGCUCACAGUACCAGAUAGUGAAUUCCCCUGGAGGUUUAGUUUGGUCAACGAGGAUAGUGUAAAGAGAUCAUCGGGCAAAGUUCCGGUAAGGCCAUUUGCAUCGAGCAAGAGCUCGGAAAGGGAACUGCAGUUCCCGAAGCCGGCAGGGAACUCGCCGGAGAACAUGUUCGCCGAGAACCGAAGCACUUUAAUGGAAUCAGAGGAAUUGCAGAUACCUGUAUCGACGGGGCCCCAGAAGCGGUUCAAGCUGACGUCGUAGACUGAUAGAUUGCUCGAUCCGGCGAAGAUCGGGUGCGUGCCGUUGAAUGAAUUGAAGGAGAUGUUGAAUACCUGAAUCGACGAUAGGUUCGAUUCUGCAGGGAUAAGCCCAGAUAACAUGUUCGUACUAAGAUCAAGGAGCUCCAAGUGGGGGAGAUGGAAUAGCUCCACAGGAACCGGUCCACGAAGGGAAUUGUAGGAGAGAUUGAGCAGCUUCAAUUGAUCUAAUCCGCCCAGAGAAGAAGAGACGGAGCCCUUUAAACUCUUCUUGGACAGAUCCAAACCAAUCACCCUCUUCACCAGAGCAGAGCCCAAAUCACAUGAUAUCCCAACCCAAUUACAGCAAUCUGAAGAGGACGACCCAUUAAAGCUCCACCCAAGAUCACUCGAUUGGAGCCCUUCCACAAAGCCCUGGAGCGCAUUCAAAUCGCUCGAGUCGCAGCUUUGUUGGCUCUGGGAACAGCAGAGGGGAGCGAAGAGGAGCAAGAGGAGGAGGGAGGAGAAGCAGGGGAGUCCCCUGUUUCCCAUUUCAGCGGGUUCCCAGAAGAGGCGAGGGGGUGAAGUGGGUAAAGGAGACUCUUUUAUGGAAGAGCAUCGAGGAUUAGCAAAACCCAGUUGAGAUUUUGGCCUUACUCCAAGUGGCUUGGGAGGAAAAAGAAGAGGUGGUGGUGGUGAAGGAGAAGAGCUUAAAUUGUUCACAUCAAUGGCGAGAGAGAGAGAGAGAGAGAGAGAGAGAAAGGGAGUGCGUGGUUUGGAUUUUUCCCCGUAGUUUACUUCUUCUUCUUCUUCUUCUUCUUCUUCUAUAUAAUUUAUUUUAUUUAAUUUUCUUUCUUCUUUCUCGUGCUUCUUUAUUACUUAAUUCAACGCACUAUUGCUAAAAAAUUUUUUCCCCCUUUCUUUGUAGGUAAUUAAAAAAAAGGGCGGUGGUUUGUUGAAGGUUUGGAACGGCGAAGACGAAAAGAGCAAAAAGAGGAAAGUCCAGAAAUUAUUCCAUGCACCUGGAGCACCAAAUGCCAUAUUACCCUGAGUAUCAGCAUACUAUAUAGUGACGAUUUAGUCCAUAAUAUUAAAGCUUUUUUAAAAUCAUUCGACUCUUUAUAUAGUAUUAAAUCAUAUCUAUAUAUCAAUUUGAAUUCUUAUUUUAAUACAUUUAUUAUUAUUAUUAAAUAUUAAGUACGGUGCGUGAGUUAUAAGUAUACACGCGGUGUAGGGAUCAAGAACACCGUUUAGGGGGAGGGGGAGUGAGAGAGACGGAGAGAGGGUGACCGGGGAACAGGAGUCGUGACCGGCUGUAGGCGGUAGGCUCUGAACGGCGCACUCGGGUGGUGACCGGGUGCAGGAGGUCAACGGUCAGGCGGGGGCGACACGUUGGAGAGAGAGGCGCGCAUUUCGAAGCCGCCGUGCCGACGUGGCGCGUCCUGUUUAUGUUUAUGAUUGCAAAAAUUUCUUCUUGCGCUAGUAUUAUGUGAUUUAAAGUGUCAUUUUCACACGCUAUAAUUUUAUUUUUUGGCUAUUUUUUUACUAUUUUUUUAUUUAAUUAGUGACAAAAUUAAAAUUAAAAGAUACCUAAGUAAAUUAUAAAUAGGGUAUCUAAAAUUUGUUGUAUAUGAUUUAACGAAAAGUUAACGAAGAGAUUGGUGAAAAAAAAAAACCACCAAACACUAAAUUGAUACAUUUUAAACCAUAUGAUACUAAAAUGAGAAAUUGUGAAAUUACUGGGAUGGUAUUUGAAGAUUACCCUUUAUAAUUUUUAUUUUUAUUACAAAAGUUAGAAAAAUGAAAAUAUUUGACUUUUCAGGAAAUUCUAGAAAACAUUUUAGGAAUCAAUCAAAUUUACUAAUAAUUUUAUCAUUUAUUUAAUGAUAUUAUUUACUUUUUAGUAGAUAAAAGUAGACCAAUGAAUGGUUAAUAUAUUACUAAUAACCAUUCAUUGAUAUAGUUUAAGGAAAGAGCUUUCCUCAUAGGGUUUGUGAUAGAGUGGAGAUGGAGAAAAGCAAAGAGCUAAAAUUGGGUUCUUAGUUGUGUCAUUGUUACUCCAUUACUUUUGUAAAAAGAAGAGAUGUGCAACAAAAGAAAAUCCUUUACUUUAGAGGAAUCAUAAUCUAUUUGGCUUCGCUUCUUAACGCGCACUUCAGGAUAUGCGCGUUAGCAUCAAAAAAAUUUACAAGUUAGAUAAUAGAUAUUUUUGUUUGCCCGUCUAUCCCCAAAUUAUUAUCUACAAAUGUACUUUUAAUAAGUUAUUAAUGAGCAAUAAAUGAAACUUGGCGGGAUAAUAUAGCUCGCUUAUGAACAAAGCCAAACACGCACUGAAUAUCAAAGUUGCUAAUAAAGAUAAACCAAAAUGUUAUUGCAUAAUAGAAUAAGUAGAACCUUAGUUUGUAGUAUAUGUUUUUCAAUUAUCAAUUUGUUUAUUUGUUCAUAUUGAUUUUUUAAUUAUCAAUUUAAUUGUCAUGAGGUUUUAUAUAUAGAUAUGACAUUAGAAAGUUAGAAUAACAAGAAAAUCUUUUGUUAGGAUAUAUAUUAUACCCAAUAUAUCUUUGAUAUAAUAUGGUUACCGUGUACACCUUUAUUCUUGUAAAUUUAUUUUAAUGAAAACUUAAAGAAUCAUUUGUAUUUUCUCCAAAAGAAAAGCUUCCACACUUAAAAAAGAAAACAAAAAAAAAAUCAUACUUAGAAAGUUGAAAGAGAAAAUGAAAAGGCUACUGUCAAGUUGUUGCCAAUUGGUGUGAACACUUUGCUCAAGUUAAAAUUUAGGGAAAACUUUAAAAACCUGUUUUGUGGUUUUACUUUUUCUCACUUUAGUAUUCUGUGGUUUAAACUGUAUCAAGUUAAUACUUGUGGUUUCGCACUUUUUUACUUUAGUACUCUGUAGUUUAAGGUGUAUCAAGUUAGUACCAUGUGGUUGCGGUUUUGCACUUUAUCAUUUUAGUAUCCUGUGGUUUCGCACUUUAUCACUUUAGUACCCUGUGAUUUAAAAACUAUAUGGUACUAACUUGAUACAAAAAUAAAACCACAUGGUACUAACUUGAAACAAAAAUAAAACAACAGAGUACUAACUUGAAGCAAAAAUAAACCACAGAUAUACACUUUAAACCACAGGGUACUAAAGUGAUAAAGUGAGAAACCACAGGAUACUAAUUUGAUAUACUUUAAACUAUAGGGUACCAAAAUAAAAAAAUAUAAAACCACACACACACACACACACAUAUAUAUAUAUAUAUAUAUAUAUAUAUAUAUAUAUAUAUAUAUAUAGUUUGACUAUAGUGUUUCCCGAAGUAUUAAGGAGUUGGUAUCGAUUUAAUAUAAUAAGUGGAAUAGUAAAUAAUUCAAGGGCUAAAAACUGUAUAGUAAUUACUAUUCAUCUACCGUCGAUGGUAGCAUAAAUGGACUCAUUUUUUUUUCAUAUAUAAAAAUAAAUCCUACCUGUUGAAAAUGAACUAAAGUUAAUUAAUCAUCCACCUAAUUUUUUGGGAAAAUAUUUAUUUACAAACCAACUACCAUGUGUCAUUGGGAUCAAAUGACAUCAUGUUAAACAUUUUGACUUGGAAAUAUUGAAAUUGAUCAACUACUAUCUAGAGUCCAUUGACCAACACCAAUUUUAGGAAUUUUUAAAGAUUAUUUAGACCAGGAAAAAAGGAAACAACUUUUUUUUUUUUUUUUUUUUCCUUUUGUUUUCCUUCACUCUUUUAAUAAAUAAUGCAAUAAUCUAUUUGCAAGUAGACCUUUCCCUCUAUUUGAUGUCAGGUAAAGCUAUUUUAGUCAUGAGGAUUAUGAGGUUUAGGUUAAAUUAUACAUAUCUUAUUUGAACUAUAUAUUGCUUAUUUAAAAUUAAUAUCUUGACUUUUAAAAUUUUCACUAUAUUAAUGGUUAUCUAAUCUUAGUAGUAUUUAUAACAUUUUAAUUGAAUACUUUGUAAUCUAACGGAGUAUUCUACAACUUAAAAAUGUUAUAAAUUAAAAGUUAGACAACAAUAUCUAAAUUUUGAAGUUCACAUAUUCUUUCGAUAUGCUCUGUAGUUCAUGUCAAACUUGUAUCUUCAAAGAGGGAAAAAAAACGAUUUUUUUUUUUCAAAGAAGCACUAAAAAUUUCAAAUAAAAUCCCUCAAAUAUCAGUUUUUUAAUUAUCUUCUAUUUUAACUACCUAAAUGUUUAUUUCAGCCUCAUAUCCGGACACAAAUAAUUAUAGAACUCUCCAUGCUACCGAAGAAUUUAAUAUAGUUAAUUAUCAACAAAUGACAGAAAAAAAAGUUAGAGAGUAUCGAUAUACAGUACAUUUUCGUAAUACGAAUAUACUAAAAUGUACUUAAUUAAGUGUUGACCUUAUUAUUGAAUAUGUACACUAAUAUAUAGGAAACGUACGUAAUACAUGAUCAAGUAUGAUAUUUUAUAUAAUAUACACCAACUAUAAAUUACUGUUUAUAUAUAAUUAGAACAAGAUUACUUGAUUAAACAUAAAGUAAAUUAUAUUAUAUAUUAACAUAGUUGACAUUUAAACAAAUACUUUUUUUUUUUUUUUUUGAGAAAAGGUAGCGAGCUACCCGCUUCAUUCAUUAAGCAAAAUGAACUAGGCGUACAGAUUGGAAGCAGCUGGGGCUUCCGGAGCAAGAGACAGGAAAGUAGAAAAACAGAAAACCAAAACAAGAAAAAAACUGAAAGAAACAAAGUAAAAGUAAAACAGGAAAGAACAGGCGCAGGGGCAGAUCACAGUAGAUUCCUCCAAGAUGUCACUAGGAGGUUGGCGCGGUCAAGAGCUCGAGCCGCAUCAGGGGCCUUUUGGUUGAAGAUAAAGUGAUUUCUUUCAUUCCAGGCAACCCACCAGAUUGCCGCCAAAGAAGUUAGACCUUCCGAUCUCUUUUGUGCGUCGUUAGUGUUGGAGAUAGUGGUCAUUUAAACAAAUACAAAUCAGAUAUGAUUUAAUUCAUUUAAACAGGCAUCAGGGGACAUUUAAACAAAUACAAAUCAGGAGCCGCAUCAGGGGACAUUUAAACAAAUACAAAUCAGAUAUGAUACAUUGAACAGGCAUUUUGAUCGUCGCUGUCCACCUCUAUUAACUAUUCAUCAAAUUCAUUUAAGUAUUGUAACAAUGGAAACUUGACCAAGCAACAAGGCUUUGGUUACGAGUAUUUCAAUGCCCGUGUAUGUAGGAUUUUGAUCAUGCAAAUUAAGUAUUCAUGAUUAAUUAGAACUUACACUUUGGUCAAAAAUUGUAUAUUGCACUAUAUUUAUAUUUAUAUUUAUACGUUAUGAUUGAUCCAAAGUAUCGUGACACGCACUUUGAUAAGUCAAAGAGUAUAUAUAUUUAUUUAUAUUUAUUAAAUUCAUUGUUAUAAAGUGUAAAAUUUUUUAUCCUAGCUUUAUGAUUUGGUCAACAAUUAUUGCACUAUAUUCUAUGCCACAUGAUUGAUCCAAAGUAUUGUGACAACUCAUCUUGAUAAGUUUAAGUGUAUAUGUUUAUUUGUAGAAUACGAAGUUAUUAAAUCGUUGUAAAGUGUAAACUUUAUAAAAAAAGUUCUCAAGUUACUCUAUUUUAAAUGGUACACUACAACAAUUCUAUUACACUACAUGAAUUAUUACAUCGAAAUUAAAUUAUUAUAGAAUAUAUUUUAUUGUAAUAAUUUGCGCUGUUGUGAUAAUACAACACCAUAAAAUUUAUAACAACAAUUCUUUUUGUUACAAAAAAUUAUGAUAAUUAAUAACCAUCAAUUAUAACACUAUAUAUUAUUGGGAAAAAAUGAAUUUCCAAUUGUGAUAAACUCUUAAAUGAGAUAUCAAAGGGGGGAUUGCAUUUAGACCAUUAUUUUCUAAUUGAAAGGGAUAGUGCUAAAGUGUUGAACUAUUUUUCUGUAGAAUUUUGUAAUAAAUAAGUUAUUUCACUUAAGAGAGAGAGAGAGAGAGAGAGAGAGAGAGAGAGAGAGAGAGAGAGAGAAAUAGUAAUGUCUUUAAAUACUCUGUUCUAUGUAUACACCCCUACCUGGUUGGGACUCUAUGAAAGAAAACCAAUUUGUUUCCUAAUUAUGAAAUUGGAGCUUAUAAUAAUACUAGGGGAUUUUUUGGUCGCAUGCAGUUAUAAUUGUACUACAGUUUUACCUGGAUGUAUAUCUAAAUUCAACGUUUGUUUUGAUACAUUUAAAUUCAACUACUAUAGUUGUAACUGCAUGAGAAAACUCAAGAAUUACGCCUAAAUUGCCUGCAGUUUCAACUAUAAUACUUUUAAAAAAUAAUUUAAAUAAAAAUAAAUUUACCUUCCUAAUAACCUUUUAAAUAGUGUUUUUUUAUCCUUUCCUACAUCGGGGGUAAUCUCUUAUUACCCCAUAUAUUAAAUGACAGAAAUACGUAAAUGCACUUCUCAACAGCCGGCAACCAAACAAAGUAUUUAUAGCUACAUCGCUUUUUAUUACAUGUAACCAAACAAAUAUAUAUAUAAUUAUAAUUGCUGUAUUUUCGCUGCAUGCAUCUCUAAUUACAAUGUAAUUAUAAGAGAAAUGAUUCGGUACUUUUUUAAAAAAAAAAUAAAAAAGAUCUUAACCGUUGAUUAAUAGAGGGUAAAAAUGUAACUUUAAUACUUAGCAGGUAAAAUGAUUAUUUUAUUCAAGGUUAGUUUGGUAAUUAAAUACUACAAUAUUUUAAGAAACUUUUAAUUGAGGUCCUAAAUCUAUGCAUUAAUUAGCACUAAUUUAGAAAAUUAAUUGAUUAACCAAAUUUAUGCAAUUAUUAGUCAUUAAUUUAGGAAUCUACUUUAAAUGUUUUAGUGCUUCUCAAAUUAUGCAUUAAUUUAAAUUAUAGAAAUUUUAGAAAUAGUUUUAUUUCUAAAUACGAUGAAUUUAAAUUUUAAAAAUUAAAUACUUAAAAUUUAAAAGUGAAAUUUAAAUUAGAGGAAUUUCAUAUUACUAUUUAAAAACUAAAUUUCUACCAAGAUUUAAAAUACAGUUUAUUCGCAUCAGUUUAAAACGUAAUGCAUAAAAAACUUAGAGAGUAAGAUUUCUACAACUAGAUUUCUCUAGAGGAAUUUCAUAUUACUAUUUAAAUUUUAAAUUCAAUGAUUUAAAAACUAGAUUGAACCGAUUGAUUUGACUGAUCAGACUUUGACCUAUUCUAUCAAGAAUCUGAUUUUAACCUAUUGAACCGAAUAACAUUAAGAACAAUUUGGAACCGGUAAAGAUAAUAAAUAUUUUAAACAGAAUGAUAAUUUAACUGUUAGAGCUAAUAAAUAUUUUAAAUAUAAUUUUAAACAUAUAAAUUAAAAAGAUUAGAAUUAUUGGUGAGAAAAAAAAUAGUUAGGAAUUUGAAUUCGAAUCUGACUAACAAUCACAAAACUUAUUUCCGAACUCGACAGAUUUCAAAAAUCUAUAUCCAAAUUCAAAACUGACCAAUUUUCCGAAACCCAAAACCAAACAUAAACCAGAAGACUAGAAUUCAAACAAUUAUUUCUAUUUACCAUAUUUCAAAGUAUUUAUAUGAAACUUAAAUUUUUAAAAUAUAAAUUUGAAUAUAAUAUUAAAUUUUAAAUUUAAAAGUGAAAUUUAAAUUAGAGGAAUUUCAUAUUACUAUUUAAAGUUUAAAUUUAAUGAUUAUAUUGUUAAAUUAUUUGAAAAUUUUCUUAUAUGAAAUGCCAAAUUAUGAAAGGAAAGAUAGAGAGAGUAAAAGGAAACAAAGAAAAAAUAAAAAUUUUAAAAAUAUAGUAAAUAUAAAAUGACUAAAUUGCCCAUGUAUUAAAAGACAAAAAUAUUCUUUUUUGAGGUACCUGGUAACCGGUACCUCUCCUAAAGUGACCUGCUAUUGCAGGUCACAAUUUAAAAAAAACUAAAUCCGAGCCGUUGAAUACACGUGAAUGAACGGUAACAAAAAAAAAAAAGUAUAGAAGCAUUACUCAAUUAUAAUUACGUCAAAUCAAAUGACCCCUAAUAUGCUAUGAAAUCAAAGUUUUUUGUAACUAUGUUUUGUUGGCUUAAAGAGCCAGCAUCCUAUCCUGUGGUGAAGAUCAAGGUGGGUCGAGUCAUAAUUAAAGUCUGUGAGCUGUGUGGUGGAGGCCGGGGCGAGCCAAGUCACAAUCGAGACUUGCUUUGUAUCUAUAUGUUUUAAGUGAAUGAAUUAUAUAUUUCUAACAACUCGAACUUUUGAAAUUAACGGUUAGCACCAACGAUCCUACAUAGUUCACUUAAAUUUAUAGAUGUAAAUGUUAUAUGAUUCAUUUUGAAAAAGCUUCCACUACAACAUCACAUUAUAGGCCUACUUAAAGGCGAUCAUUUGAAUAAUUGCAUUAUUAUACUAAAUUCCACUUAGAUGAGAUCAAGAAUGAAAUCAGAGUUUAAAAUACAAAAACAUUGUGGGUAUAUCUCUUGUGACAAAAAGGCACAUCCAACUUAUGCUACAUCCACCAUUAGUGGUAUUUGAAUGUUGCACCAUUCUCAAAAAGCAAAAUUUCAUGAGGACCCAUAAGCAAAUAAUAGAAAAAAAAAAUAUAGUGGUACAUGCUAUGAUUGGAAUAACCUGAUAAGGGGGUCACCAUCACUUAUUAUUUGAUGUUCAUGGCCCUAUAAUAUGUCUAAGAGGUGAGGAAUUCUAUUCUUCGAGUGUGUGCUUUAAAAAUGGUGCAAGGGCAUGUUGGUUUAUAUGAAUUUAGGCAAAAACCUACAUAAAUGGAAUCCAACAUAGGUAUUGGGGUGCUUUUUCAAGUUGAACUUGUGUUAAUUGAUGAUUCAGGGUUGAGAAUGUAUAUAUAACUUAAGGACCUGUUUGGAAGAGAAUAAUUAAAGUUCCAUAACUUUAGCUUAUGUUUGUAUCUCAUUAUUGGACACUACAAUUCUUUUUUUCUUGUGUGUGAGGCUAAAAAUUAAUUGGAUUGGACCGAACCGCGAGCGCGUAAACUAACACGUAAACCAACUCAAUGCGCCUACCCGAAACUUGGUUUUGCCACUUAAUUAUCACCUGCACUAGAUGCAGAAGCAUUUCCAUAGUAUAUUCCUAGAGGUGCCAAACACACUUCAAAAUUCAACUGCUAUUCUUGUGCCAAGUUGCAUGUUUCUUUUUUUUUUUCUUUUUUUUUUUCUUUCCUAACAAAAUACAAUCUAGGGUUUCAGUGGUUGUGAGGAGUCAGAGAUCACUUUAAUUUUUCCACAGUGAACACUUUGUAUCUCCUAUUCCCCUCCUCAUCUUUUCCCCACUAGAUUCAUCUAGAAUUUGGUGUAUAAGUGAUCAUGAGGGUGACUUUUUUUGAUGAAGUAAAUCGAUAAUUAGAUCAUAUAAUUUAUUUGGAUUGUUUCCUGUGUUUGAUUCUGCAAAACAACUGUUGUACUCUAAAAGGUUAAGCUUUUAGAGAACAGUGUUUAUAUAAUUUUAUAUUUAAUAGAUUCCAUAUAGAAAUUUAGUUGUAAUAUAAAUUUGAAUUUACAAAUAUUUUUGUUAAAAAAU
rnacentral:lncRNA from 1 species